CAGCAAUGCUGGAUCAGGGAAUGUUUGGAUGUGUAGUUAUGCAAGUGCAGGAGGUUUGCAUUUGGGCUGCUGCAACCCGCUUGUGUUGUGUGGACUGUUGUAUGUACCUCCUUUUUCAGCCCCAGAGUGACACUAUCACCCAUACCUGAAAGCUUAAACGGUUCUCUUCCACAGGUACUGCGGUGUAUCUUCCCAAGUGGCGUGGAUGUGAGGAGACACGACAUUUCACCCGAUGUUCCAUGGGCGACCUACUGGUGAUGUGGACCUGACCCUCCGCCAUGUAGCAGACAACCACCUCAGGUACUGCGGUGUAUCUUCCCAAGUGGCGUGGAUGUGAGGAGACACGACAUUUCACCCGAUGUUCCAUGGGCGACCUACUGGUGAUGUGGACCUGACCCUCCGCCAUGUAGCAGACAACCACCUCAGAUCUUCCGGUGUAUCCUUCCUAAGUGGUGUGGACGUGAAGAGACAGAUCCCCUGAUGUUCCCUGGGCAAUCUUACAUACAAUUCAACUGCAUUACAAAUUUUAAUAAAAACCACAGGAAACUUCUAUUUUUAAAAGUUUAU